UCAAAGGAAUUGACGGGACCGCACAAGCGGUGGAUGAUGUGGAUUAAUUCGAUGCAACGCGAAAACCUUACCUACCCUUGACAUGUUCGGAAUUCUGCAGAGAUGCGGAGGUGCUCGAAAGAGAACCGGGAACACAGGUGCUGCAUGGCUGUCGUCAGCUCGUGUCGUGAGAUGUUGGGUUAAGUCCCGCAACGAGCGCAACCCUUGUCAUUAGUUGCUACGAAAGGGCACUCUAAUGGGACUGCCGGUGACAAACCGGAGGAAGGUGGGGAUGACGUCAAGUCCUCAUGGCCCUUAUGGGUAGGGCUUCACACGUCAUACAAUGGUCGGUACAGAGGGCUGCCAACCCGCAAGGGGGGAGCCAAUCCUUUAAAACCGAUCGUAGUCCGGAUUGAGGUCUGCAACUCGACCUCAUGAAGUCGGAAUCGCUAGUAAUCGCGGAUCAGCAUGUCGCGGUGAAUACGUUCCCGGGUCUU
rnacentral:rRNA from 1 species